rnacentral:misc_RNA from 1 species
UGUGUGCGUCACACAACCUGUGUCGGUAGAACAAGGAUUUAAUUGACCAUACAUGACAAACUUUUAUCAAAGAAAACUGUCUUCUGUGUAUCCUAUAUGUACUUCCACUUCAAUGUGAUAAAUUUUAAGGAGGUUUUAUAAAAAUAUAUCUGAUGUGUCCAAGAUCUUACGUUUUGUGCCAAAAAUUAAAAAAAAAUCAAUGAUUUAAUAAAGUUAUAUAAAAUUUAAAAAAGAAGGUAUUAAUAGUCAUUUAAUACAGUGCUUUGAAAUACUAUUGUUGUAGUUUAUAUUUGACAACCAAAUGCAUUAAUCAUUGAUUAUUGAUUUAAUCAUUGAUACAAGUGAAAUUGAGAGGUCUGAGGAAUACUGAGUAGUAUAUCUUAGUCAUGUUAUUAAAGGAAUGAUUUUUCCUAAAAAAGCUACCUGUGUUUUGUGCUGACAAUAGCUCUCUGUGUGUAAUGUUUGAAAUGUAUUUUGUAUUCAAUUAUUGUUUGAUGCAUAUUGUAUCAGCCUUUUAAUUUUUUCCGUGUUUCCAUUUAAUAUAUUUUUAAAUGUGCUACAUUUUUUGGAAGUGCAAUGCAAUUGUAUAUUUAUGUAUUGAACCGUGUUUUGUUCCAACCUGAGAAAUAUGAGAAGAGUCUUGGCCGAGCAAGAUAGACUAUUGAUUGCUAAAAGGUUUAUAACGGAAUGCACCAUUCAUGUAAUAAUGAACUACAUUAUGAGGUGUACCUCCACUGCAGUGUCAUUUGACUGUGAUUUUGAUUAAAUAUAAAA